rnacentral:lncRNA from 1 species
CCGGGCUUUUUAAUCAUAGUUCUUGAUGAUCAUUAAUCAGUGUCCACAAGAUUAGAAGAUGUAUCAGUCCUCAAAUUUUUUGCAUUUAAAGAGUUCAUGCUUAUGCAUUUUAAUUUUGCACAAAGCUUUGUGUGUUUACUUUCCCUUUGAUGAGUUGAAUGCAAUGUCCAUUCUUCAAAACACCAAGCAAUUUUUUUUGCCAUUUUCAAAGCUGAAAAAGCUUC